GGACUACUGGGGUAUCUAAUCCUGUUUGCUCCCCACGCUUUCGUGUAUCAGCGUCAGUGCUGGCCCAGGGGGCUGCCUUCGCCAUCGGUGUUCCUCCAGAUCUCUACGCAUUUCACUGCUACACCUGGAAUUCCACCCCCCUCUGCCGCACUCCAGCCUCAUAGUUUCCAACGCAGUUCCCAAGUUAAGCUCGGGGAUUUCACAUCGGACUUGCGAGACCGCCUACGCACGCUUUACGCCCAGUAAUUCCGAUUAACGCUUGGACCCUACGUAUUACCGCGGCUGCUGGCAC
rnacentral:rRNA from 2 species